UUUCCCUUCUCUAAAACCUCAAGCUUUCUCUCGUUCGUUCGUCGUUCUCCCUUUGCGCUUUCACUGUUCAUCGUUCUCCCUUUAUGCAGUCAUUCGUUCACCGUUCACCGUUCACCGUUCGAAACUCGUAAUCACCUUCUCUGUUUGAAAACACGUGAACACAUUCACCUCUGUUCGAAAACGCGUGAACACAUUCACCGAAAAACCUCCAUUUGUCUCCAAAUCCUUUGUAAAAGACUUGUAGGAAGUCCCAAUGGAAGAGAUGAAGAAGAACAUAGUAAAAUGCUCACAUAGAUUACAGAGAAAACAAAGAAAUUUCAACUUGGUUGGUAGGUGCUUUUCUUAAACGAUAUUAACAUUGAGUCGCAACGCUAUGAUGCAACGUUAAGAUGUUGGGAGUCUGGAGGCAUACUUCCAUGUUCUCUCCUUUGCUGUUUCCAAACUUCCCACUUACCUCAACAGCUUCUUAAGGAAUUUAAGAAUAUCUUGCCCUCUUGUUGAGUAGGCUGGCUGUAACCUUGAUUUUUUUCUUUUAGUCUAGAUAAGUUCUUCGUAGUAAUUACAAGUCUUAUCCCUGUAUGGAUUCUACUAAAAAACUUUGUUUUUUUCCUUGCUUAUUGGAUACUUCAUAAUCCAGGUAAAGAACACACCUUUAUUACAUUGUUUAAAUUUCUUAAACACUUAAAUUUACAUGUUCCUCAAGUGCCUAUAGCAACUGUCUGAUUUUUCAAGUGCCUAAGUUGAACUGUUUGGUCUUAACUUUUCUUCUCUUACUCAGAUAAGGUUUAAAUAUUGAUUUUCUGAUUUUCUGAUUUUCUGAGUCGUUCUUUGUAUUUGUACAAGACUUGACUUAGACUACAUUUUGGGGGUAAGUAGAAUAUUUUGUUUUAUAUUCUUUUUGCAAUUGCCAUGAUGUAUGAGUUUGACAUUAUUUUGCAAUUUGGUAGCCAUUAAGGUUAUGAAUAUGUUGAUGUGGCAUACAAAGAUUCGCUUGUGGUAAACAUGUGUGUAAACAUUAAGUGGUUGAUGAUGAAUUACCAAUUUUUGUUGUAGUUUGUUAAAGAUUAAGUGUUUUUAAGUUUGUCCUUCCACUUUAAUUAUCAAUAGUGACAAUAACUUUAUUUCUCAUUAGAUUUACAAUGAUUGAUAAAUUGUGGAUGCACAAGAGUAGAUUGUCUAAAGAUUAUGAGUUGGGUGUGGAAAACUUCAUCAAAUUUGGAUUUUCUAAAACAACUAGCUCAUAUAUUCGUUGUCUUUGUUUGAAAUGUGGGAAUUAUGAAAAACAUAGUAGAAAGGGUGUUAGAGAUCACUUGUAUGUUAAUGGUAUUGAUGAAAGUUAUAAAAUUUGGUUUUGGCAUGGGGAAGAACUUCCUAACUCAUCCUUCUAUGAUGAAUCUUCAAAGUUUGAUAUCCAUACAUGUGAAGAUGAUGAUGUUGGAAGUCUAAAAGAAAUGAUUGAAGUUACUCAUGAGGAGUAUUCAAAAGACCCAAAUGGAUUUGAGAAGUUGCUUAUUAAUGCUGAAAAACCAUUGUACGAAGGAUGCAAAAAGUACACAAAGUUGUCUACUCUAGUCAAAUUGUAUAAUUUAAAAGUUAGGUAUGGAUGAAGUGAUACUAGUUUUUCAGAAUUA